CUACGGGUGGCUCCAGUGGGGAAUAUUGGACAAUGGGGGCAACCCUGAUCCAGCAAUGCCGCGUGUGCGAUGAAGGCCUGCGGGUCGUAAAGCACUUUCGUUGGGGAGGAAAUACUCAAAGAUAAUACCUUUGAGAGUUGACGUUACCCAAAGAAGAAGCACCGGCAAACUCUGUGCCAGCAGCCGCGGUAAUACAGAGGGUGCAAGCGUUAAUCGGAGUUACUGGGCGUAAAGGGCGCGUAGGCUGAUAUUUAAGUCGGAUGUGAAAUCCCUGGGCUUAACCUAGGAAUUGCAUUAGAUACUGAAUGUCUUGAGUAUGGUAGAGGAAAGUGGAAUUCUCGGUGUAGUGGUAAAAUACGUAGAUAUCGAGAAGAACACCGGUGGCGAAGGCGACUUUCUGGACCAAUACUGACGCUGAGGCGCGAAAGCGUGGGGAGCAAACAGGAUUAGAUACCCUGGUAGUC
rnacentral:rRNA from 1 species